rfam:Vigna angularis cultivar Jingnong 6 chromosome 10, whole genome shotgun sequence.
GGGAUAUGAGAAGUGGUUCAAGCUCUCUAAUAUUACUGAGAGUUGGUGUUCGCCUCAAAGCCUGGUUACGACAAUUGAGCAUCCUCCAAAUUCUAUUUUGAUCCC